rnacentral:misc_RNA from 1 species
GUGAACGCCCUCACGGGCUUACCACUAUUCCAAACCUCUGUGAACCGUGCCCUUCGGGGCUAUUUUACCAAACAUGGUGUAAUGAACGUCAUAUAUCAUAACAAAACA